GUGGGGAAUAUUGGGCAAUGGGCGCAAGCCUGACCCAGCGAUGCCGCGUGGGUGAAGAAGGUCCUCGGAUUGUAAAGCCCUUUCGGCGGGGACGAUGGUGACGGUACCCGCAGAAGAAGCCCCGGCUAACUUCGUGCCAGCAGCCGCGGUAAUACGAAGGGGGCUAGCGUUGCUCGGAAUCAUUGGGCGUAAAGGGCGCGUAGGCGGCCGGAUUAGUCGGGCGUGAAAUCCCCGGGCUCAACCCGGGGACUGCGCUCGAUACGGUCCGGCUCGAGGACGGGAGAGGGCCGCGGAAUUCCCAGUGUAGAGGUGAAAUUCGUAGAUAUUGGGAAGAACACCGGUGGCGAAGGCGGCGGCCUGGCCCGUUACUGACGCUGAGGCGCGACAGCGUGGGGAGCAAACAGGAUUAGAAACCCUAGUAGUCC
rnacentral:rRNA from 1 species